rnacentral:misc_RNA from 1 species
GAAAUGCGAUAAGUAGUGUGAAUUGCAGAAUUCAGUGAAUCAUCGAAUCUUUGAACGCACAUUGCGCCCCUUGGUAUUCCAUGGGGCAUGCCUGUUCGAGCGUCAUUUGUACCCUCAAGCUCUGCUUGGUGUUGGGUGUUUGUCCCCGUCUCCGCGCGUGGACUCGCCCCAAAGUGAUUGGCAGCCGGCGUACUGGUCCCGGAGCGCAGCACAUGUCGCGCAAACGAGUGCCUUGGUACGGCGGCGUCCAUAAGCCCCUCUCUCACGCUCUUGACCUCGGUUCAGGUAGGGAUACCCGCUGAACUUAAGC